UCUCCCCCGAUUCGAUUCAGUGCCCGCUUUGCCACAGAUGAAGUACUCGACAAGCAUACCAUACCGUCGUGUCGUAGAAGGUAUCAACUGGAUCCGGCAGAAUUGAUAUUUGAAUCGGGUCAUUUGGCAAUGUUCACCUUUUUUUGGUUUUUCUGUCUCUGAAUCGUACUCUAGUGUCAAAAGACGAUGAGAUUAUCUACUUUAAGACAUACAUACAUGUAUAUAGAUAGGAUUAAUUCUUGGAAACUUCUGACAUUUGGUACAUUGUUGAAACGCUCGAGGGCAGACAAGACAAGCAUCGUGUUCUCUUGUUUGCGCAAAUGGCGAAAAUGCUGAAUAUUCUUGAGGUAAUUAGUCACUACAAAGUAAAUUCAAGAAUGGUGUGUGUGAGAUCAUGUCAGUCAGCAGCAUAAGGUGGUGAUGCCUUGUUUAUGUGCGGAUGUUAAGGAAAUCAAAUGCUUAUUUAGGGGUCAUAUUUUACCAAAGUGAUUGGAACCCAACACUGAGACUACAAGCAAUGAAUCGAUCAUAGAGCCAUCGGUUGGGUCGCGCAAAAGCUCUAAGUUUUGUUUGCCAAAUCCAUUCCAACCCUAGACUUCCUGGUUUCUUUAGAGCCAUUUGUUUGUGUGCUUCUUUGGAGACCCCAUGCUUGUAUGGUAUCUCUCUUGUUCCCUCUAGUCAUUUAAACAAACAGUUGAAGAGAAGAUUCUGCAAAGAGCUAGUCAGAAAAAUGCUGCCUCUAUUCAGGUUAAGGGUAGACAAAAGAAGAAACAAACAAAGGGUAUACGGGUCGAUACAGAAGGCAAUGCCUCAUUAAAUGAUCUAACAAACCCUGCAUCUGCACCUCAAGGUACUGGACAUGAAGGAUUCUUUAGCUGCAACUGGCGCAAAAACUCAAAGGUCGAAGAAUCUACAAAGCAUGGACGAACCGGAUAGCUAUGAUUUGAAUGAUGCCUUACAAAAUACUGAUCAACAAGCUACGAAACCCAAGAGGCCUAAGAGGCAUGUGAACGAAAAAUCUUGAUCCGGCAUACUGCCACACUUGGUGUGGUUCCAGAGCAAACCCAAUAUCCACCAUGGAAUUAGUCUGGAUCUGAUGGUUUCAAAGCAGAACCAAACCUGGGAAAAAGGUCUAAAUCAGAAGGUUCUUUUCAUGAUUCUUGAUAAUAUCAUCAUGUAAUGGAGAAGACUCUUUCCGGUUCAGAAAAUGUUAGGCAGUGGCAGGCCAAAGGACAAGGUCAUCACUGUAUGUGAAAUUUGGGGAAUGGUGUGUGGCGGAUUUUCUGUUUGACACUAUGGUUGAGAGAUUUUAUUGCUU
rnacentral:sRNA from 1 species